AUUUUCUGUUGCACAUGCUGCGGUCCGCCCUUCCUAACCCAGAAGUGGCUUUGAACCGGGGCCCCUGGCUCCUCGGGCCCCUGAUCCAUCAGACUUUAGCGUCACCGAUGAACUCACGGUGCACAGAGAGCACAUGGGAACAAGUUUGAGAGUUUUGGCUCCAGCAGCAGCAGCUGGACGUGUUCUGGUGGAGCUGUGAGGUUUGGACCAACAGGAAUGACAGGAAUGUAAUCUCCUCAGCUGAGGGUGUUAAUGAUUUCACACAAAGAACGCCACAAAUGAAGCAGAGCAUGCUGGGAACAUCACAAAACGUCUGUUUGCUUCACACGUGCAGCCUGGGAAAAGCCAGAACCGCUGACAUGUUUUCUCCGAGCUGGAGAAACUUGGAACCUGAAGACCUGGAAGAAGGAUGAUGAUGAUGAUGUUGAGGCGGAGAGGGCCUGAGGGGAACAGUCAGAGAGUUUGGCUCGGGAUUCUGGGUUUGUGGAUCCAACACGUGCCGUCACAUGCGACAGGAAGGAGGGAGGCAGAGUGAAGCAGCUAGAUGCCAAACAGCAGCUGAAGCAGAACAAGGACUCAUGUUUUAACAACACAAGAAGUUUGGAUCAGACGUCUGCAGAGAAAAUGAUGAUAGAUGAGCUUAAUGGAAGAAAAAUGUCAAUAAAAACAGACGUUAAAAAAAAGGAAAAGUCUAGAUCAGCCAGAACCGUCCAGACAACAAUAACUCUGAGAAACGCUGCGUUAUUUCAGCAGGUUUACUUCUGUUAGAGGAGCAACAUCCUGCCACCUGUGGCCAAACACAG